rnacentral:misc_RNA from 1 species
GGACAACCUUUCCUUCUAUCAUCUCAUAUUUGUACAUGGACUCUCUCUUCAAUCCACCAUAACUUCUAACCUUCCCCCCACUGCAAUAUCAAACUCAUUUCACUUCUUGUCCAAUCUAGUCUCAGCCUACCUAAUUUAGAGCACUCACAAUCUCUUUUUAUUUUUUUCAUUUUUAAGUUUGGAAUUGGUUGAAAUGAUGCUGCUGGAAUCUUCUCUACAUCCGGCAAAGAUGGCCAUGUCUAAUAUUCUUGGUAUGUUUUUAUUCAUGGAAAUGUUAGCGAGUGGUUUUAGAUUUGGAGUAGAUGGGCUGAGCAUGGACUAUUACUUCAUGAGUUGCCCAUUUGCGGAGCAAAUUGUGAAGAACACAGUUACACGUGCUUUGCAAGCUGAUCCUACCCUAGCAGCUGGCCUUGUUAGAAUGCAUUUCCACGACUGCUUCAUAGAAGGAUGCGAUGGGUCUAUCCUUAUUGAUUCAACGAAGGAUAACACAGCAGAGAAGGAUUCCCCUGCAAAUCUGAGCUUGCGAGGCUAUGAAGUAAUUGAUGAUGCAAAGGAGGAACUUGAAAAUCAAUGCCCAGGCAUAGUUUCAUGUGCUGAUAUCCUUGCAAUGGCUGCUAGAGAUGCAGUUUUCUGGACAGGGGGUCCAGUAUAUGACAUACCAAAAGGAAGAAAAGAUGGAAGGAGGUCUAAAAUAGAAGAUACAAUCAACUUGCCAUUUCCCACCUUCAAUGCCUCGGAGCUCAUUAGGCAGUUUGGGCAGCACGGUUUCAGUGCCCAAGAAAUGGUUGCUUUGUCUGGAGCACAUACUCUAGGGGUGGCAAGGUGCGCAUCCUUCAAAAAUAGACUGAACGGUGGUGAUCCUAGUGUGGAUUCAGAGUUCGCAAAGACAAUGUCAAAAACAUGCAGCGGUGGAGACAACGCAGAGCAACCCUUUGACCCCACCAGAAACACAUUCGAUAAUUUUUAUUAUAACGCGCUCCAAAGGAAAUCUGGACUUCUUUUCUCAGACCAAACCCUGUUCACUAGUCCCAGGACUAGAGCUAUUGUGAACGGCUAUGCAUUUAAUCAAGCCAUGUUCUUCUUUGAUUUCCAGCAGGCAAUGCUCAAAAUGAGCAUGCUUGAUGUUAAGGAAGGAUCCAAAGGAGAAGUUCGAGAAAGUUGCCGCAAAAUUAACUGAAAAAUUUUACAAUAUGUGCAAUGACUAAAACUUCUUGUAUCCCACCGUUUAAUCUGUUGAUUAUUGUAUCAUUGGAUGCAUAUAUAUAUAUAUAUAUAUGAUGCAGGUGCAUUCUGGCACCUAGCUUAAAUACUUCGAGCUCUUGUCUAGCUCAGAAAAAGAUGGCUUUAAAAUGGUUUCUAAAUUCUGCAUUUACUCAAGUUUUUGGU